AACGAACGCUGGCGGCGUGCCUAACACAUGCAAGUCGAGCGAGAAAGCCCGCAAGGGUGAGUACAGCGGCGCACGGGUGCGUAACACGUGGGUAAUCUGCCCUGAAGUCCGGAAUAACUCGCCGAAAGGCGUGCUAAUGCCGGAUGAGACCACGGGAGCUUCGGCUCCUGCGGGAAAAGGUGGCCUCUGUAUACAAGCUAUCACUUCAGGAUGAGCCCGCGGCCCAUCAGCUCGUUGGCGGGGUAAUGGCCCACCAAGGCUACGACGGGUAGCUGGUCUGAGAGGACGAUCAGCCACACUGGAACUGAGACACGGUCCAGACUCCUACGGGAGGCAGCAGUGGGGAAUCUUGCGCAAUGGGCGAAAGCCUGACGCAGCAACGCCGCGUGUGUGAUGAAGGUCUUCGGAUCGUAAAGCACUGUCGCGAGGGACGAAUAAGGGGCGGGCUAACAUCCCGUUCCGAUGACGGUACCUCGAGAGGAAGCACCGGCUAACUCUGUGCCAGCAGCCGCGGUAAUACAGAGGGUGCAAGCGUUGUUCGGAAUUAUUGGGCGUAAAGCGCGUGUAGGCGGCUUUGUAAGUUGGGUGUGAAAGCCCUCGGCUUAACCGAGGAAGUGCGCCCAAAACUGCAUGGCUUGAGUACCGGAGAGGGUGGCGGAAUUCCCGGUGUAGAGGUGAAAUUCGUAGAUAUCGGGAGGAACACCAGCGGCGAAGGCGGCCACCUGGACGGAUACUGACGCUGAGACGCGAAAGCGUGGGGAGCAAACAGGAUUAGAUACCCUGGUAGUCCACGCUGUAAACGAUGAGCGCUAGGUGUUGUGGGUGUUGACCCCUGCAGUGCCGCAGCUAACGCAUUAAGCGCUCCGCCUGGGAAGUACGGCCGCAAGGCUA
rnacentral:rRNA from 1 species